rnacentral:tRNA from 1 species
CAGGGAGACAACACAAUGAUUUUGAUGCCUGAGUGCUUUUAUUCUUAGGCCGAAAUCCUGUCACCUUAGGUCGAUCGGUACCUCAGCUUUGAAGUUAAGGAUCAGCAGCAAUGUUGAUUGCUUGAUGGAGAUUUUCAGUUCCUAAACUUUGUCUAGGUCACACCCCAAAAGGGAUGAGACUCCUGGGCCAUUAGCUCAGGUGGUUAGAGCGCACCCCUGAUAAGGGUGAGGUCCCUGGUUCAAGUCCAGGAUGGCCCAUUCGGUGUUGGGGGUUUAGCUCAGUUGGUAGAGCGCCUGCUUUUGCAAGCAGGAUGUCAGGAGUUCGAGUCUCCUAACCUCCACUGACCGAACUUGAUUCCCAUCUCCAAUUUUUUUGGAGUUGAGCUCGAUUGGAGUGUGAUUUAGAUGUGUCCGCUGGAUGACCCCAGCUUCCUGUCAUUCCAAGUUUUAGGUUAAAGCCUUGAAUUUGGUUGAUAAGAUGCUGGGCUCGGAUCAAAUGAUCAAGCAAUUGAUGAUUUGAUUUGAAGUUCUAGCAGAACCUUGACAACUGCAUAGGUGAGUCUGGAAAAAACAAAGCAUCUUACAGAUGCAUUGUUUUGAAUCCGAUCUUCUUAAAGGGAGAUUGGAUCUAGAACAAUGAAAAUUCUUUUUAGCAAGAGCCGAGACUCUUGAGCGUUCUUUGAUUGGUGUCGAGCCAAUCAGAGUUUGAUCUUGUUUUUAGCAAUAAAAACUUGAGAAUCUGCUUUCGACGGCGGUAAGCGUUCAGGAGGUUAAUU